AACUGCCCAGCUGGCCCUGCGUCCGCCUGGGAAUAAUACAGCGCUGUAACACGUCAAGCCAAACAGGCUUGCCCCAGUGACCAAGAAAUUCCAGCGCUAGAUAUUUAUUACCUGGAGGACUAUGGAAAGGUGGCCAGAUCGAAUUGCUUUCAAGCUUCAGACGCUGCCAGGACCCCACUUUAUUUUGGAGGCUGAUGCUAGAGAUGACAUGAUAUGGAGGCUCCACAUGGCAGGCUCCCUUCUGGGGCCUUAGUCCUCACAGAAGGGAUGGAGGGGCAGUGGCCAGUGCUUGUGUGCUUGUCUAGCAAGCAGGAGAUCCUGGCUUCAAUCCCAGCACCACAAAAACAAACGAAAGACCACCUGAUAGAAGAAGCUGCACAUUGUUCUAGUGAAGAUAUGCUGUGUCUAAGGCAAAACGGCACGGAAACUGCAAUGAAACGCUACUUACUGGGGACGGCUUAGCAUUCAUCACGCCAUGGGAUUCAGCCAAACUUCUCUUCAAACAGAGAAAACCCUUUAUGAAGAUUGCACGAGCUCCAAUAUCCACUCGUCUCUCCAACAUCCCUCCAAUUCUGCCAGUUCCGACGCAACAGUCCGGGCAUAUUUGUGGGUUUGCCUUCCGUUUUCUGUUAGCUGUGGUCAGUACAGCAUAAAAGGAUAUUUUAAAAGAGACUUUGCAUUCACCUAAUCUUUACACAUUGCAUCGUUUUACUCGUUCUAUGCUAUUAUUGGUUGUUGUUGGUCUGUUACUGUGCCUAAUUGGUAAACUGUUUUAUCAUCUGUAUGCAUAUAUAGUCUAGACAGGGCCCGGUCCUGUGUGUAGUUUCACACGUCUGCUGGGGCCCUGAAACAUAUUCCCCAUGGCUAAGUGGGGAAUAUAUAUUUAUAUAUUUAAAUGCCUCUUUAUAUUUAAAUGCCUCUUCAUUAUACAAUGGCACACACAACAAAAUCUAAAACUAAGCAGAUCGUAUAUAGAAAUUGGCAACAAUAUGCAUAUUUGUAUUUAGUAUAUACAUAGAAGUGAGCCAACAUUCAAAUUUGAUUAUUUGGAAACAAAGAAAAUAAAUCAAAUUUCUUACUAAUCAAGAAUAACCUGAAAGAAAGUAAGAUACUGGCCAACUUAAACCUGUUUACCAGUAUUUGCUUAAUUCAAAUUGAAAUAUUUCACCUGUCAUUAAGGUUCCAUAAACUUUAAUACAUGUCAUAGAAUAUGACCUUUCCACUCCCCUACUUCUUCAAAUAUGUACAAAUAUAUCCUUCCAAGUAUUCAUGUACUUAUUUGAUCUUCUUUUGCCUUCAGAAAAUUUGUAAUUCUUCCAUUCGUGGACAAAUAUGUGUUCCUAAUGCUGUAGCAACUACCUGUAAGCAGUAUAGUUUGUCUCUUA